rnacentral:lncRNA from 1 species
UAAAUAUAAUUAAGGAGCUACUAGCACCUAUGAAACUACUGCCUCAUUGCUCUUGCUCUUGCUCUUGCUCUAGCUCUAGCUCUUUGAAUUAAUGUAUGGUUUGUUUAAUGUUAAUUUGGUGAUGUUUUUAAUGUGUGCAUGGUUUGUUUAUGUUCAAUGUAGUUUGCUUCCUUUGUUUUUAUUGUUCAGUUUUUAAUUACUUCCCCCUUCAAUGUAGGAAGGGAGGAAGAAGAAGAAGAAUAUGUAUUGUAAGUGUGNNNNNNNNNNNNNNNNNNUGCGUAGUCUGCAGUUAAUGAAAUAUUGCUCUUAUCUUUAAUCUUCUCGGCUGUUAUUUAUUUUUGCAUUCUUUUUGUGGGUUAUAUAUUCAUAUAAUUUUUUAAUUAUUUAUCAAAUAAUUUAAAGAAUAAAAUGACCAUAUAAGAAUAAUUUAUAUACUUCAAUGGCGAACUUUUGCAUCUCAAAUUGAAAUAGAAUUUCACUCCACUAAGUGUAAGCAUUCAUGUAGUCAAUAAUUAUGUAAUUUUAAAUUUAUCAAAAAAACAAAAUUAUCGAGUUU